rnacentral:rRNA from 1 species
UACAGAGGGGGCAAGCGUUGUUCGGAAUUACUGGGCGUAAAGGGCGCGUAGGUGGCCUUCUAAGUUGAACGUGAAAUCCCUGGGCUCAACCCAGGAACUGCGUCCAAGACUGGGAGGCUUGAAUCCGGGAGAGGGAUGCGGAAUUCCAGGUGUAGCGGUGAAAUGCGUAGAUAUCUGGAGGAAUACCGGUGGCGAAGGCGGCAUCCUGGACCGACAUUGACGCUGAUGAGCGAAAGCUAGGGGAGCAAACGGG